rnacentral:rRNA from 1 species
UCCUACGGGAGGCAGCAGUGGGGAAUUUUGCGCAAUGGGGGAAACCCUGACGCAGCAACGCCGCGUGCGGGAUGACGGCCUUCGGGUUGUAAACCGCUUUCAGUAGGGACGAAUUUUGACGGUACCUACAGAAGAAGCCCCGGCUAACUACGUGCCAGCAGCCGCGGUAAUACGUAGGGGGCGAGCGUUAUCCGGAUUCAUUGGGCGUAAAGCGCGCGUAGGCGGUCAUGUAAGCGGGACCUCUAAUCUUGGGGCUCAACCUCAAGCCGGGUUCCGAACUACAUGACUCGAGUGUGGUAGGGGAG